rnacentral:rRNA from 1 species
AUUGAACGCUGGCGGCAUGCCUUACACAUGCAAGUCGAACGGCAGCACGGGAGCAAUCCUGGUGGCGAGUGGCGAACGGGUGAGUAAAGUAUCGGAACGUGCCCAGUCGGGGGGGAUAACGUAGCGAAAGUUACGUUAAUACCGCAUACGCACUAUGGACGAAAGCGGGGGCUCGCAAGACCCCGCGCGAUUGGAGCGGUCGAUAUCAGAUUAGGUAGUUGGUGGGGUAAAGGCCCACCAAGGCGACGAUCUGUAGCUGGUCUGAGAGGACGACCAGCCACACUGGGACUGAGACACGGCCCAGACUCCUACGGGAGGCAGCAGUGGGGAAUUUUGGACAAUGGGCGAAAGCCUGAUCCAGCCAUGCCGCGUGCAGGAUGAAGGCCUUCGGGUUGUAAACUGCUUUUGUACGGAACGAAAAGGACUGCCCUAAUACGGUGGUCCCAUGACGGUACCGUAAGAAUAAGCACCGGCUAACUACGUGCCAGCCGCCGCAGUAA